AUCCAGCUGACGAGUCUCAAAUAGGACGAAACAAGACUCCUGAAU
rnacentral:hammerhead_ribozyme from 1 species